AUGGUCGAGGAAAAUGCUGUUGGGUUUCACUACAUAUUCAGCAGCUUCAAUCUUGACCUAGAUGAACGAAGCUAAGCGACUAAGUUUACUUGGCAGUAACAGGUGUGAACAUCUUACAAGUCGUGAUGCUCAUGUAUAAUACUGCAUACAAAA
rnacentral:scRNA from 1 species